GGAGAGACAGUUGGUGCGUGUGCAGCGGAAAGGACGGAGGAGGUGUAAGCAGGCAGCGAUGGUGAUGACAAGCGGAGGAAAGGAUUGGUGAGCUCCGAAACUGUGAAAUCACCCAGAGCAGACUAUACAGGAGAAGCGGGGAACUUACCAUUCACUGCCAAGCAGAGACGCCAUCUAUUGUGCCGAGCUCCUGGAGAGAGCAGAGAGAGGAGCAGAUUGUAGCUGAGAGCCGGUGGCCGCCCUAUUGUGAGUCACAGUGAUGCGGAAGGAGGAGAUUAAAUUCUUCACAGUAAAGACAGAGAAGUAUCCAGUAAAAGACAAGUGAUACUGAGACAUCAGAGUGGAGCCAGGGAAGUAUCGCUGCGCCCAGAGACCAGAGAUUGUGAUAAAAGGUGGCCGAAUAGUACCCACGCUUCGGGCAUCUUCCCGUUUCUACUUGGACAAAAUGACUUCUCUGGCUCUGGGACACAUAUGCCUUAUACAGUAUCUUUGCGUGUACUUCCUGGAGGGUUGAAGAUUGAACAACACGAAGUGUCUGUGUAUAAUAUUUGAAUAUUGUAUGGCUAUCCUGUAAUAAAGGUAUAUCUCUA